rnacentral:rRNA from 1 species
AUAAUGGGUCAGCGACUUAUAUUCUGUAGCAAGGUUAACCGAAUAGGGGAGCCGAAGGGAAACCGAGUCUUAACUGGGCGUUAAGUUGCAGGGUAUAGACCCGAAACCCGGUGAUCUAGCCAUGGGCAGGUUGAAGGUUGGGUAACACUAACUGGAGGACCGAACCGACUAAUGUUGAAAAAUUAGCGGAUGACUUGUGGCUGGGGGUGAAAGGCCAAUCAAACCGGGAGAUAGCUGGUUCUCCCCGAAAGCUAUUUAGGUAGCGCCUCGUGAAUUCAUCUCCGGGGGUAGAGCACUGUUUCGGCAAGGGGGUCAUCCCGACUUACCAACCCGAUGCAAACUGCGAAUACCGGAGAAUGUUAUCACGGGAGACACACGGCGGGUGCUAACGUCCGUCGUGAAGAGGGAAACAACCCAGACCGCCAGCUAAGGUCCCAAAGUCAUGGUUAAGUGGGAAACGAUGUGGGAAGGCCCAGACAGCCAGGAUGUUGGCUUAGAAGCAGCCAUCAUUUAAAGAAAGCGUAAUAGCUCACUGGUCGAGUCGGCCUGCGCGGAAGAUGUAACGGGGCUAAACCAUGCACCGAAGCUGCGGCAGCGACGCUUAUGCGUUGUUGGGUAGGGGAGCGUUCUGUAAGCCUGUGAAGGUGUGCUGUGAGGCAUGCUGGAGGUAUCAGAAGUGCGAAUGCUGACAUAAGUAACGAUAAAGCGGGUGAAAAGCCCGCUCGCCGGAAGACCAAGGGUUCCUGUCCAACGUUAAUCGGGGCAGGGUGAGUCGACCCCUAAGGCGAGGCCGAAAGGCGUAGUCGAUGGGAAACAGGUUAAUAUUCCUGUACUUGGUGUUACUGCGAAGGGGGGACGGAGAAGGCUAUGUUGGCCGGGCGACGGUUGUCCCGGUUUAAGCGUGUAGGCUGGUUUUCCAGGCAAAUCCGGAAAAUCAAGGCUGAGGCGUGAUGACGAGGCACUACGGUGCUGAAGCAACAAAUGCCCUGCUUCCAGGAAAAGCCUCUAAGCAUCAGGUAACAUCAAAUCGUACCCCAAACCGACACAGGUGGUCAGGUAGAGAAUACCAAGGCGCUUGAGAGAACUCGGGUGAAGGAACUAGGCAAAAUGGUGCCGUAACUUCGGGAGAAGGCACGCUGAUAUGUAGGUGAAGUCCCUCGCGGAUGGAGCUGAAAUCAGUCGAAGAUACCAGCUGGCUGCAACUGUUUAUUAAAAACACAGCACUGUGCAAACACGAAAGUGGACGUAUACGGUGUGACGCCUGCCCGGUGCCGGAAGGUUAAUUGAUGGGGUUAGCGCAAGCGAAGCUCUUGAUCGAAGCCCCGGUAAACGGCGGCCGUAACUAUAACGGUCCUAAGGUAGCGAAAUUCCUUGUCGGGUAAGUUCCGACCUGCACGAAUGGCGUAAUGAUGGCCAGGCUGUCUCCACCCGAGACUCAGUGAAAUUGAACUCGCUGUGAAGAUGCAGUGUACCCGCGGCAAGACGGAAAGACCCCGUGAACCUUUACUAUAGCUUGACACUGAACAUUGAGCCUUGAUGUGUAGGAUAGGUGGGAGGCUU